GGCCUGGCGCCUAGGGGGUCUUCGUAGCUGGCAAGGGUACUGUCUCCCCAUCUCAGACCCCCAGCACGAGUGGUGGUCAUGCUGUCUGGGACGGGCAAUGGGACCACUGCGCAUGCGCAGGGCUCGCUCCUCGCGCCUCCCUCUCUGACCUUCUCCAGUUACUUUCCUCCGAUUCCUGUUCUCUCUCUGAUGGCGCCUACUUUCUAUUUAGCUCCUGUGAUUGGAGAAAGGGAUGGAGCACGAGGGUGCAAGGAAAGUGCUUCACACUGCCAUCCAGUGGCUGCAGACGGAACAACAGCCCAGCCUCGACUUUGGACGAACCCUGGCCAAGGAAGCAGUACUGCCAAGGGGGAAAAACAAAGGCCUCCCAUCUGGGUGGUGAAAAGAAGAGCCAGGUCAUGUUUCCCUGAGGCCAGAGGAAGUGUUUCUGGGGCAUCUGGGCGAGCAUCCGCUGGGAGGGAUGCUGAGCUCAGGUGGACCCACCUGAAGAGGCAGUGUGUGCGCUCAGCCCCCUGGAGAAGCAAGGCUAGCAGGCAGCUGCUGCAGGCAGGGAGUUCUCAAAGUGUGGUCCUGGACCAGCAGCAUCAAUGUCACCUGGGAACUUGUUAG
rnacentral:lncRNA from 1 species